GGGAAAAGCUCAAAUUUUAAAUCUGCUAGGUUUUACUUAUCAGAAUUGUAAUUUGAAGAAGCGUUUUCCGCGCUGGACCGUGCAUAAGUCUCCUGGAACGGAGCGUCAUAGAGGGUGAGAAUCCCGUCUUUGGCACGGACCCCCAGGGCUUCUGUGAUGCGCUCUCGAA
rnacentral:rRNA from 1 species